UGGUUUUGUCUGAAGUCAAACUUUCUUAAGUUUGACCAAAUUUAUAUAAAAGAUUAUCAGUUUUUAUGACAUCAAAUAAAUAUACUAUGAAAAUAUAUUUCAUCAUGAAUCUAUUGAUACUUAUUUGGUUUCAUAAGAAAUAGUAAUUUUUUGUAUAAAUUUGGUCAAACUUAAGAAAGUCUGACUUCAGACAAAAUUAA
rnacentral:pre_miRNA from 1 species